CCAGGAGGUUGGCUUAGAAGCAGCCAUCCUUGAAAGAGUGCGUAAUAGCUCACUGGUCGAGUGGUUCUGCGCCGAUAAUGUAGCGGGGCUUAAGUACACCGCCGAAACCGCGGCAACACAUGUAAAGGUGUGUUGGGUAGGGGAGCGUCGUGCAUGUGUUGAAGCCAUUUGGUGACAGGUGGUGGAGUGUGUGCGAGUGAGAAUGCAGGCAUGAGUAACGAUUGAUGUGUGAGAAACAUAUCCGCCGGAUGACUAAGGGUUCCUGGGUGAAGUUUGUCUUCCCAGGGUGAGUCGGGGCCUAAGGCGAGGCCGACAGGCGUAGUCGAUGGAUGACGGGUUGAUAUUCCCGUACCCGUGUGCGUGCGACAAGUGAUGAAUCUUAUGGUACUAACCGCCCGCUUGUUUCCGCUGAUCUUUUUGGUUGGUGGUUUCAGGUGCGUGGGAUCUUCGUGGGUAGUAGUCAAGUGAUGGGGUGACGCAGAGUGGUAGCUAGGCUUCCUUAUUGGAUUGGAGUGCAAGCGUGUGGCCUGUGGGGUUGGGAAAUCCGCCCCGCGUAUAAGGGUGAGGCGUGAUGCGGACACCAGUUGUGGUGGUAGUUAGUGUGCCUGUGCUGCCGAGAAAAGCCUCUAGCGAGUGCGUGCAUGGCCCGUACCGGAAACCGACACAGGUGGUCAGGUAGAGAAUACUAAGGCGUUCGGGUGAACUGUGGUUAAGGAACUCGGCAAAAUGCCCCCGUAACUUCGGGAGAAGGGGGACCAUUACUGGUUGCUGACAGCAUUAUUGGCUGGUGGUGGUCGCAGAGGAGAGAGGGAAGCGACUGUUUAUUAAAAACACAGGUCCGUGCGAAAACGUGGAAGUUGAGGUAUACGGACUGACGCCUGCCCGGUGCUGGAAGGUUAAGAGGACCCGUUAGUGCGCCUAGUGUGUGCGAGGCGGAGAAUUGAAGCCCCAGUAAACGGCGGUGGUAACUAUAACCAUCCUAAGGUAGCGAAAUUCCUUGUCGGGUAAGUUCCGACCUGCACGAAUGGCGUAACGACUUCCCUGCUGUCUCAACCACAGGCCCGGUGAAAUUGCAGUACGAGUAAAGAUGCUCGUUUCGCGCGGCAGGACGAAAAGACCCCGGGACCUUUACUAUAGCUUGGUAUUGGUGUUUGGUCAUGCUUGUGUAGGAUAGGUGGGAGACUGUGAAGCCGUGACGCUAGUUGUGGUGGAGUCGCAGGUGAAAUACCACUCUGGUGUGAUUGGGUACCUGAACCUUGGCCCGUGAUCCGGGUUGGGGACAGUGCCUGGUGGGUAGUUUAACUGGGGCGGUUGCCUCCUAAAUGGUAACGGAGGCGCCCAAAGGUUUCCUCAGUCUGGUUGGCAAUCAGAUGGUGAGUGUAAGUGUAUAAGGGAGCUUGACUGUGACACUGACGGGUGGAGCAGGUGCGAAAGCAGGGACUAGUGAUCCGGCAUCGACGUGUGGUUGUGGUGUCGCUCAACGGAUAAAAGGUACCCCGGGGAUAACAGGCUGAUCUUCCCCAAGAGUUCAUAUCGACGGGAUGGUUUGGCACCUCGAUGUCGGCUCGUCGCAUCCUGGGGCUGGAGUAGGUCCCAAGGGUUGGGCUGUUCGCCCAUUAAAGCGGCACGCGAGCUGGGUUUAGAACGUCGUGAGACAGUUCGGUCUCUAUCCGCCGCGCGCGUUGAAACUUGAAGAAGGCUGUCCCUAGUACGAGAGGACCGGGAUGGACGUACCUCUGGUAUGCCAGUUGUCACGCCAGUGGCAUGGCUGGUUAGCUACGUGCGGGAGGGAUAACCGCUGAAAGCAUCUAAGCGGGAAGCCUGUUUUGAGAUGAGGUUUCUGUUGAGGUUCCCUAUAGAUGAUGGGGUUGAUAGGCCAGGGCUGUGAGCAUGGUGACGUGUUGGAGGUGACUGGUACUAAUACACCGACACAAAAAAACA
rnacentral:rRNA from 1 species